CCGAGGAGCGCCGGGCUGCUGCCCCGAGCCCCGCCCACUACAGCCUCAGUGCAUGGCGGUGGGCGCUUCCAGUAACUCAGGGGUGGGACUUUUUUCUUGCUCAGGGGAUGAGGCCGAGCCCACAGGCUUAGAAAGAAGGAACUUGAGUCCGGGCACCUGUCAUCCCAGCGCUUAGGGAGGCCGAGGCGGGUGGAUCACCUGAGGUCAGGAGUUCGAGACCAGCCUGGCCAAUAUGGCGAAACCCCCGUCUCUACUAAAAAUACAAAAAUUAGCCGAGCAUGGUGGCAUGCACUUCCAGCUACUUGGAAGGCUGAGGCGGGAGAAUGGCUUGAACCUGGGAGGCGAGGGUUGCAGUGAGCUGAGAUCGCACCACUGCACUCCAGCCUGGGUGACAGAGCGAGACUUCGUCUCAAAAAAAAAGAAGAAGAAAGAAGGAAGCUGAGGUUCAGACAGGCUAAGUCCCUACUGCAGGCUGCGGAAUCUAAAAAGGUCAUGAACUCUGAGAGUUUGAGAUGAGCCUCUAAAAGCUGUAUCAAUAGCACCUUGCACUGUUGAAGCAGGCCAUGAACUCUGAGAAUUUGGGCUGCAUUUUUAAAGCUGUAUCACUGGCAGUUUGUACUCAAAAAGCAGAUAGUGUCUUGCAAUGUCGCCCAGGCUGGAGUGCAGUGGUGCCCCUCCUGUUGUGAAUGUGAGUAACAAACCAUCUUUUCAAUGGCAGUCUCCUGCUGACCUGUCUACCUGUUGUGUGUGAAGCUGUGUGAUUCAAAUCAGCUUGAAUUACAUUUUUGUGAGUUCUGGAAAACCCAGACACCAUCUGUUCUUGUGUGCGAGUGUGUGUGUGUGUGUCCGUGGUUGAGGAAGUUUGGAAGACACCCCAUGGUCAAACAAGGUGGAGUCUAGGGCCACUUUCCCUGCCACAUGGCUAUCUUAUUAGAACCCUGCCUACCACAAAUGCCCAAUCCCAAGGGUAAGGCAAGACAGCAGCCCUGGAAUCCCUCCUUUGGACGGUUCCAGGACCCUUCUCCUUGGAUGCUCAGAGAUGGGAUGAAGAGCAGGUAAGGGAGGCGUGGGCUCAGGGCCAGAAAGCCUGGUAACCUCCCCUUCCUGAGUCCUGUGUCCUCCUCUGUAAAAUGCAGACACUCCUGGGAUGUCACUCACAGCCAGGGCUGCUGGGCUUAUUGUACUCUGCAGUUAGGCUCCUGUCUGAGGAGAUGAAAGGAUGUGAAAUCCAGCCUGUACCAUCUUCACAAGCUGUAUCCAUGCCUGGGCUGCAGGAUUUCAACCACAGCAUAGCAUUGACCUGUCCAAAAGCCCCAAAGCCUAUCAUGGCCAUGUAUGCAGUUAUUGCUACUUGGGAAAAAUUCUUAUUAAACAGAAAACAAGCAUAGGUGAAGAUACCCAUUUUGAAACAAUCUUAUUUUUUAUCUUUUAAUUUGAGGUGAUGCUCAUUGUCUUAUAAGGGGCCUUUGCCAUCACUAGAUGGCAUUCUUGCAUCAUGGAAAACUACACAGGAGCUCCUUUAAAAAUCAAUUUUGAACUGUGGCAAAAUACACAUCACAUAAAAUUUACCAUGUUAAAAUUGUACAAAGUACAAUUUUAAAACGAAU
rnacentral:lncRNA from 1 species